CUCACCACUACAGGCGCGAACAGAAGCCAUUCAUUGCAAGGUAUAAGAUAUUUUCUGGAAGCAACACAAGUUCACAAGACUUAGGGAGGUUUACAGUCACAUAGCAGCACUGCUGUUUAAGGUGGAUAUGGCUGAACGAGCUGGAGUUAAAUCAAAGGCAUGCACAAGUGAUGCCUCCAAUUGGAAUUCUGCUUAUAGAAAAGAGCCUUAUGCAGUCCCGAUGAGUGACGUUCAUGAGAAGAGCGCGGUGUCAGUUUUUGGAGACGGAAGCAAGCAGUGAA